GACGUAGGGCGCGAGCGUUGUCCGGAUUUAUUGGGCGUAAAGAGCUCGUAGGCGGCUUGUCGCGUCGACUGUGAAAUCCCGCGGCUCAACCGCGGGUCUGCAGUCGAUACGGGCAGGCUAGAGUUCGGUAGGGGAGACUGGAAUUCCUGGUGUAGCGGUGAAAUGCGCAGAUAUCAGGAGGAACACCGAUGGCGAAGGCAGGUCUCUGGGCCGAUACUGACGCCGAGGAGCGAAAGCGUGGGGAGCGAACAGG
rnacentral:rRNA from 1 species